rnacentral:rRNA from 1 species
CCUACGGUGGGCAGCAGUGAGGAAUAUUGGUCAAUGGGCGCGAGCCUGAACCAGCCAAGUAGCGUGAAGGAUGACUGCCCUACGGGUUGUAAACUUCUUUUAUAAAGGAAUAAAGUGAGGCACGUGUGCCUUUUUGUAUGUACUUUAUGAAUAAGGAUCGGCUAACUCCGUUCCAGCAGCCGCGGUAAUCCGGAGGCUCCGAUCGUUAUCCGGAUUUAUUGGGUUUAACGGGCGCGUAGAUGGGUUGUUAAGUCAGUUGUGAAUGUUUGCGGCUCAACCGUAAAAGUGCAAUUGAUACUGGCAGCCUUGAGUACAGUUGAGGUAGGCGGAAUUCGUGGUGUAGCGGUGAAAUGCUUAGAUAUCACGAAGAACUCCGAUUGCGAAGGCAGCUUACUAAACUGCCACUGACAUUGAUGCUCGAAAGUGUGGGUAUCAAACAGGAUUAGAUACCCCAGUAGUC